rnacentral:sRNA from 1 species
AUCGGCUGUGGGGAGUAUCGGCUGCAGUCGGAUGUGCCGGGAGGGUAGGAUGGCGCCUGGCCGAUGCGGUGAUAGCACCGAAAGCAGCCGGCCGCCAAGCGCUCCCCCCACCCCCCGAAGUUUCUCCCCAGCGGUGGGGGAUGGGGGUAGGCGGUUCCUCUGUUCUUUCUGCGUUCCCCGCGGCCCCGCACCACAGAGACGUGGGCCUCCACCGUCCUAGCCCUCCCGCCCUGUUCUCUAGUGCAGACUAGAGCGUCUCCUCGCCAUUUCCUGUCGCCCUGGGGCCCCGCGGGGAAAAAGGGGGAGUAGAGGACAGUAGAGGGAAGUCGCGAGCUUGGGUGGUGUGUAGACGCCGGAAGUGUUGGGAAGAAGGCCGGAAGCUAGGGGCGGGGCCAGGAAGUGAGGGGGGGCGGGGGUUUAUGAGGAGUCCAAGAGAGCAUUGGGGCAGAUUUGCACUCAGAGCCACCUGAGGGACUUGGCGGUGGCUCUCAGCACUGUCCCCUCCCCUCGCAGAGACACGGUUGUCGUUUGGGAGUAGGGAACACUGUGUGGCGGGGUGGGUUGUCGGGAGGACGUCUCUCUGGCUGCUCUUGGGGCGAGGUGUGGAGGGGCAGGGCUGGGGGUGGAGCCGGGUCGCCAGGGCGUCGGUAGGGAAGACCCCCGCCCCUCGCCCCCCCACCGAACCUCUACACUGGCUGGCUGGACACUAAGAUGGCUGCCGUUGCCAUGACACCCAACCCUGUGCAGACCCUUCAGGAGGAGGCGGUGUGCGCCAUCUGCCUCGAUUACUUCACGGACCCCGUGUCCAUCGGCUGCGGGCACAACUUCUGCCGAGUUUGUGUAACCCAGUUGUGGGGUGGGGAGGAUGAGGAGGACAGGGAUGAGUUAGAUCGGGAGGAGGAGGAGGAGGAUGGAGAGGAGGAGGAAGUAGAGGCUGUGGGGGCUGGCGCGGGGUGGGACACCCCCAUGCGGGAUGAAGACUACGAGGGUGACAUGGAGGAGGAGGUCGAGGAGGAAGAAGAGGGUGUGUUCUGGACCAGUGGCAUGAGCAGGUCCAGCUGGGACAACAUGGACUAUGUGUGGGAGGAGGAGGACGAGGAGGAAGACCUGGACUACUACUUGGGGGACAUGGAGGAGGACCUGAGGGGGGAGGAUGAGGAGGACGAGGAGGAAGUGCUGGAGGAGGAUGAGGAAGAGGAUCUAGACCCCGUCACCCCACUGCCCCCGCCUCCAGCCCCUCGGAGGUGCUUCACAUGCCCUCAGUGCCGAAAGAGCUUUCCUCGGCGGAGCUUCCGCCCCAACCUGCAGCUGGCCAAUAUGGUCCAGGUGAUUCGGCAGAUGCACCCAACCCCUGGUCGAGGGACCCGCGUGACCGAUCAGGGCAUCUGUCCCAAACACCAAGAAGCCCUGAAGCUCUUCUGCGAGGUAGACGAAGAGGCCAUCUGUGUGGUGUGCCGAGAAUCCAGGAGCCACAAACAGCACAGCGUGGUGCCAUUGGAGGAGGUGGUGCAGGAGUACAAGGCCAAACUGCAGGGGCACGUGGAACCACUGAGGAAGCACCUGGAGGCUGUGCAGAAGAUGAAAGCCAAGGAGGAGAGGCGAGUGACAGAACUGAAGAGCCAGAUGAAGUCAGAGCUGGCAGCGGUGGCCUCAGAGUUUGGGCGACUGACACGGUUUCUGGCCGAAGAGCAGGCAGGGCUGGAACGGCGUCUCAGAGAGAUGCAUGAAGCCCAGCUGGGGCGUGCAGGAGCCGCGGCUAGUCGCCUUGCAGAGCAGGCCGCCCAGCUCAGCCGCCUGCUGGCUGAGGCCCAGGAGCGGAGCCAGCAGGGGGGUCUCCGGCUGCUCCAGGACAUCAAGGAGACUUUCAAUAGGUGUGUUCCCACUCUUUGCCCUUUGUGACCCAGUGGCAUCUGGUUCCCUGUCCCUGCUUCUCUUGGGUAUCCCUCUCCUCUCCUUCCUUCCCCAGGACCUGAGUUUCCAUCUCCUGGACCCUCCUCUCCUUCCCCUCAGCUUUUGCUCUUCCCUCUGGGAAUAUCAUGGUCCCACCCCCUGCCCGGUCCCCUUCCUCCAGGUGUGAAGAGGUACAGCUGCAGCCCCCAGAGGUCUGGUCCCCUGACCCGUGCCAACCCCAUAGCCAUGACUUCCUGACAGAUGCCAUCGUGAGGAAAAUGAGCCGGAUGUUCUGUCAGGCUGCGAGAGUGGACCUGACGCUGGACCCUGACACGGCUCACCCGGCCCUGAUGCUGUCCCCUGACCGCCGGGGGGUCCGCCUGGCAGAGCGGCGGCAGGAGGUUGCUGACCAUCCCAAGCGCUUCUCGGCUGACUGCUGCGUACUGGGGGCCCAGGGCUUCCGCUCUGGCCGGCACUACUGGGAGGUAGAGGUGGGCGGGCGGCGGGGAUGGGCAGUGGGCGCUGCCCGUGAAUCAACCCAUCAUAAGGAAAAGGUGGGCCCUGGGGGUUCCUCUGUGGGCAGCGGGGAUGCCAGCUCCUCGCGCCAUCACCAUCGCCGCCGCCGGCUCCACCUGCCCCAGCAGCCCCUGCUCCAGCGGGAAGUGUGGUGCGUGGGCACCAACGGCAAACGCUAUCAGGCCCAGAGCUCCACAGAACAGACGCUGCUGAGCCCCAGUGAGAAACCACGGCGCUUUGGCGUGUACCUGGACUAUGAAGCUGGGCGCCUGGGCUUCUACAACGCAGAGACUCUAGCCCACGUGCACACCUUCUCGGCUGCCUUCCUGGGCGAGCGUGUCUUUCCUUUCUUCCGGGUGCUCUCCAAGGGCACCCGCAUCAAGCUCUGCCCUUGAUUAUCCUGCCACCCGCAGGGGCCCCUCUGUCAGCACUUGGGGGGCGGGUGGUGGAGGGUGGCCCAUAAGUUUGAGGGCUCAAAGGCUCUUCCCACUGUUUGUUACUGUGUUGCUUUCCACUCCCCCUUGACCCCAGGCCCCUGCUUCUCCCUCUAGGAGCCUAAAGAACCCUCCUGGCCUCCAGCUCGGCCUUCUCUCACCUACUAUGUCUGUCCAACAGGUCUGCAUGGGUCCCUGAUAAUGAGAACAGCUGCCUGGUCUUCUCUCCCAGUCUGCCUAGCCCAGCCCUGGGACUGGAAUUUGAGUAGGGGAUGAGGGGAAAUUGUAAUUUCAUUCCUUAACUUCCUUUUCCCCACCCCUGCUCUUCAACCUCUCUAUCAGUUGUGAGGCUGGAGGGUUUGGGCAAGGCAACAUCCCCAUUCCAAUUCCAUUUUCUGAUGCAGAUUUUAGCUGAGGGAGUUGGAAGCCAUUUGGGGAGGCAGGCUGGGCCAAAGGGUAGAGCUGGGUAAUAAAUGUCUAUUCUCCUGGGGAGGAGGGAUUCUAAACUUUCCUUCCGUCCUCAAUUUCUACCUCCAUAGACCGGCCAGAAUUUAGCUUCACUUGAGAGAGAUCUGGAAUGGUCGCCAUGAUUGAAACCACGCACCAUUACAUCACCCAAUAAAUUAUUUCUUCCCCCUUCCCUUUUCCAGCACUCAACCGAGGAGCAAAGCUCAUCUCACCCCACACCCCUCCCAGGUCUGCUCACUGCCAGGCUCCUCUCCCCUUUGUUCAGUGGAGCUGGCUUUUCUCCCAGCCCCUUUCCAUGCCUUUCAUUCCAUUUGGCAAGCCCUGAGGGGGAGCCUGGGGACAGGUUUGGGUCCCCAAGAGGAGAGCCUUGGGUAUAAUCUAUUUUUCUAGGAGCCCCUUGCCUUGUCACUUGCAGCUUUCGCCCUCUGCUUUGAUGGCUGAGGUGAACUCAUGUUCUUUUGGAAAAGGGAAGGCGUGCUGUGGAAAUAAAAUGUUUAUUUGCUUCU